CUACGGGAGGCAGCAGUAAGGAAUAUUGGUCAAUGGACGAAAGUCUGAACCAGCCAUGCCGCGUGAAGGAUGACUGCCCUCUGGGUUGUAAACUUCUUUUAUAGGGGGCGAAAAAAGGGAAUUCUUUCCCGUCUGACGGUACCCUAUGAAUAAGCACCGGCUAACUCCGUGCCAGCAGCCGCGGUAAUACGGAGGGUGCAAGCGUUAUCCGGAUUCACUGGGUUUAAAGGGAGCGCAGGCGGAUAUGUAAGUCAGUGGUGAAAUACCUGAGCUUAACUCGGGAACUGCCAUUGAUACUAUGUGUCUUGAAUGUUGUUGAGGUUUGCGGAAUGGGUCAUGUAGCGGUGAAAUGCAUAGAUAUGACCCGGAACACCUAUUGCGAAGGCAGCAGGCUAAACAAAUAUUGACGCUGAGGCUCGAAAGCGUGGGGAUCAAACAGGAUUAGAUACCCCAGUAGUCC
rnacentral:rRNA from 1 species